CAGCAGCCGCGGGAAUACGUAGGUGGCAAGCGUUGUCCGGAAUUAUUGGGCGUAAAGGCUCGCAGGCGGUUUCUUAAGUCUGAUGUGAAAGCCCCCGGCUCAACCGGGGAGGGUCAUUGGAAACUGGGAAACUUGAGUGCAGAAGAGGAGAGUGGAAUUCCACGUGUAGCGGUGAAAUGCGUAGAGAUGUGGAGGAACACCAGUGGCGAAGGCGACUCUCUGGUCUGUAACUGACGCUGGGGAGCGAAAGCGUGGGGAGCGAACAGGAUUAGAUACCCCUGUAGUCCCUGUCUCUUAUACC
rnacentral:rRNA from 1 species